UAGAGCGAGCGAAGCUUUCGUUAAUGGAGGGCUCUGGUUUCCAUCAACCCCAAUUUUCAGAGGAUGUUGCUUGGCUUCCACCAUGGCUAAACCCACAUAAGUUAUCAUUGCACUUUGAGCAGGUUAAUGACACCCAAACCUUCUCUCAAGUGGCUCACAGGGAUCUGAAACAUAUCCAACGAAGUGAUGGACAAAAUACCUGCUCAUUCUUGAGGGGAGAAGUUGGGUUUAAUGGUUGUCUAUUUUUGUCAGGAGAAACCAAUUUAUCAUUGGAAAGGAGCCCGUCAAUGCAGAAUAUGGCACCUUUUCAUCUACAUCUUUCCUCAGAUUAUUAUGCAGAGCGCUCCUCGAGUCAAGUCCCCCAACUAAAUAUAUCUUUAGAAAACCGGACCCUUGAGGACAGGAGCAGUUUAGAUACUUUGAAGGGCUCCCACAUCUUGUCCCUGCAACCUAUUCCUCAAAUUCCAUUCAAUCCAAAUAAUAGAGGUUCCUCACGAAAUUUUGAGGAAUCCAUGCCACAAACUGUAAAACCAAAGAAAGCCAAGCAAUCCUCAUUAGCUCAUUUGGACAAAAGUUCUAAAGAUACCCAUCCAGUGUCGCUAGAUUCCAGGUACCUCAAAAGUGCUGAUAUGGAUGAUGCGGUUGAACUUAGCGUUGCAGCAUCUGAGGCUCUGGCUAUAUCUGACCUUGUUAAGAGCAGUUUUGGUUCUGAAUCUUACUCAUCUUCAGUUAUAUUGAAAAUUGCCCUUAAAGUAAAAAUGGCAAGAAAACAGUGUUGUGUGGACGAAUUUGAUGUUUCUUCUGCUUCGAUUGAGGAAUUCAAUGGGAAUAAUGAUCUCUCUGACUUGGAUGACAAUUCCAUGGCAGAUGCUUUUGAUGAUGUUGGCCUCUGCCCGGUCCAAAUUGUGAAUUCUGGUGUUAUUCCAUGCAGUAAUGCAGGAAUUCUUGAUAAUAAUACUUCACCCUUACAUCCAGAAAGAAAUGUUGGCCAAUGCCAUGAGUUUUUUUAUUCUUCUAAGCAGUCUCUUGUCAAAGAAUGCAGUUCAAAACUGCAGAACACCUGUAGUGCAUGCAAAAAUGAUACUCAUGUUUCCAAUACAUGCUUAUCCAAAAGCCUUGGCAGAUCCGAUGGAGAAAAUGAGAGACCUUCCAUUGAUAUCAAAUCCAAGGGAGAACAUGUGUUUUCCACCAUUCCUUCACAAGGGAGUGUGAUUGGUCCUCAUGUUGAUCGUAUACGAUCAAAUGACUCUCUCUCACAGUCUUUACCUGAAGAGCAUAUGGGACUUUGUCCCAAUGAUUCUUGUGGUUCCAGAGGAAUCAUUUGUGGUGCUAAUGAACUCCAAUCAGUAGCAAUGGAUGACUCGGUCAUGGCUACUACAAUUAGAAUAACUUCCAAGGAAAGCAAUCUCAAAGAAGAAGGGUUAAAUCUUUUCAGCAUUGGACCAUGCAAGAAAUUGUCUUCCUUUUGGACCCAGGAUUCAAUAGAUGGAGUGGAAGGAGGGAAAGUAGAACAUGCUCUGAUCAUAGAACCAUUCAAAAGCCGUUGGCUUGGGGGAUGGACAGGGAAGGAAGCCGGAAUGAAUGCAGAUAGCACCUGCAAGAGAAACAAUGGCAUGCCAAAUCUGUUUGUUGGAGAGACUAGCUUCUUUUCGGAGUCGGUUGAAGUUGUAGAUGAGUGCUCCUCUGUGCACAAACAGGAGACCAGGCUUGAUAUUGGUACCUCAGGCUUGCAGCAUGGAGAUUUAUGUAGCAAUAUUGACAAUGAGAUCACAUUCUCUCAAACAACCCUAGUGAGAUUGUCUAACAGUUACCAGAUUGACCCACUUUGCUCUUUUGUAGCAUGCAGCAUUGAUGUAGAGAAUGCCCAUUUAGGUUUGUCUCCCAAUCAGCAAAAUAAUAGAGAGGAAUAUGGGAAAGAUUCCAAUUUGAAUAAUGAGGAACUUGUGGAGAUUGAGAGCCUGGAUCCAAGUACGAUGUUGCCAAGUUCUGAAGUGGCAACGAGCCCCAUGGCUUCUACCCAUCCUGUCCAGCAUGUACAACUGGAGCCUGAAGAUUCUGGGCACAUGAAGCGCACAGAAAUGUUCUCUUUGAAGAAUUAUAGCACGAGAGCUCCUAAUGGAACAGUUUGUUGGGAGGCACAAGGAGUUGAUGUUUCUGUGGGUAGUAGGUCUUCUCUAAUUAACACAACAGAAAACAAUAUCUUUUCGUCUUAUUCAAAUUGUGAUCAUUCUAGGUCUUCAAAGCAUCAUAAUAGUUUGUAUUCCAUAGGCAUUCUUAAUUCAAAGCUCUCUUCCAUGUGCAUGGACGUGGGCAAUUGCCGAACUUCAAACUUUCAAUUUGGUAAACAAACUGAACGAAAUCAACUAAACUCUACCACUAAUAACGAGUUCCUGGAGUCAGAAGCUGAUACCCUAAAUUGUGAUAGAACUGCAAAUGAUGGAAUCAAAGUUCAGUCUGACCCCCUUGAGGGAGAUCAAUCACCUUCAAUUUUGAAUUUUGGGAAACGAAGAAGGGUGUAUAGAACUAUUGAAAGUAAGGAAUCUGAAGAAGAUAGCCAGCAAAAGGCUUCAAUAUCAUAUAUGAGGAAAUUCAUAUCUUCAAAUGACAAGGAGGUGAAUAAUGGGGGCUGUGAAGAAUAUGCUUCAUGUGUAGCCUUUCAUUCCCAUCAAGAUGAAGGCAAGAAUUUGAAGAGAAAGAGAGUUCGUUUCUCUGAGGCAGACAUCAGACUUCACCAAUAUUCUACUUGCCAAAAGUCAACCUCCCAAGUUCUAAAAUGUUUGAGUAGGACAACCAGUUCGAACCGUACUGCUGAACUACCCAAAAAGCAGAAUAGGAAAUCCAGUAGAAGGGGAAAGGCAUCGGCAUCUAUCAUCUCAUCCAAGCAAGGAUCUGAAAAUGGAAAAUGCUAUCCUACCGCAAAUUGCAGGUCUCAAAAGGGACUGAUAUUUCAAGGCCUUGAGUUCAUGUUGACAGGAUUUUCAAGUAAGAAGAGGAGAGAAUUUGAAAUGCUAAUCAGGAAAAAUGGAGGAGUUGUCCUCUGUCAUAUUCCAGCACCUUCUAUAAAUAUACGCGGCAAGAGGGUGACAUGGUACAAGAACCAAAAACUACCUAUUAUCCUUUCCCCAGAAAAGGUGCAAACAAGUAAGUUCUUGUAUGGUUGUGCUAUAAAUACUGCCCUGCUGAAACCAUCCUGGCUCACUGAUUCCAUUGCGGCUGGUUUUGUAUUACCGCCUGAAAGAUAUAAAGUUAUCUCAAGUCAUUCUUCUGAAAAAAAGCAGAUGGAACGUGGUCAGUCAAAUCCCCGUUCUAAUCACAUGUACAUUUUUGAAAGGUUAGGGAUCAUGCUCUAUGGGAAGCUUUCUUUCUGUACCAAAAUGGCAACAGUUAUAAAGCAUGGAGGUGGUCAGGUUUUCAAAACCAUGAAAUGGCUAGUCGAAAGCUUAAGGAACAGGAAUAACACCAUGGGCAUUAUCAUCAUUGAAGAUGCAGGAAGAGCAACACGGCACCUUAGGCAUUGUGCAUCUGAACACAAGCUGCCAGUGAUGCCUUCAAGCUGGAUUAUAAACAGCCUACUCUUGGGAAGGCUACUCCCAACCCAAGAGAAUGACCCUUGUGAUAUUCCUCGUACAGCAAAAGCAACCACCAUUUCAGAAGCUAUAGAGGAAAGUGAAGAAAUAUGACGGACCAGAUAUCAGUUAUAACUAUAUAAAUUUCCAUUCAAAACCCCAAUUAUACGUGCCUUGUUUGCUUGAAAUUCGGGUGUUGAAGUCUCCAGACAAGACUGAACCCAAUCUGCUUGGAACUUCAAUGUUCCAUAAAACCAUGGGUGAUUGAGACGAGAUUCUCUACCAUUCGGCAGUCAUGUAUGUAUAUGUAUAUCAGCAAGCAUGCAUGAUUAAGUGCUUUUGAUGGUCCCUACCGGCUUCCAUGAUUUUCUCAGAAUUGACAAGUUGGUGGAAAGACCAAAUAACCAAAGUCCAAAUUGUGAUAACUAUAAGAACACCAUAUUUGCUCCCCUAAAGCAUGGUGCCAGAACAUACAAGUUCCUUUGAGGAUAGAACAACUUGAAACUACCAGCUCCUUUUAUCAAUGGAUUUUGCAGUGAGGGCUAAAGUUACAGAAAAUAAGACAUGCAGGUUAGUGAACCACAAACCCUUUUCAAGAAUACAUUGCUAACUCUCGGGCACGAUCCUGCAUUUGUUAUAUAAAGAAAUAAAAGAAAACAAAAGUAUGGUACCGAGGAAGAUGGCCGGCUUCAAAAUUGCCCUCCACACACAACUUCUGGAGCUUGGUAGCCAGGUUUUCAAGGAUCGAUUAGCUAGGUUUCUUGGGUCCUUUCUUCAAUUAUAGGGAGCAAAGUUGAAAGAAAAUAAAAAAGUCAUGUGCAGCUGGACCUGUGUGUGAAAUUUACAACAAAUUCGACCUCCAUGUGAUA